rnacentral:rRNA from 1 species
AACAAAAACAUGGUUUUUAGAAUAUAAUUUAAAAUUUAAUCUGCCCACUGAUUUAAUUAUUAAAGGGCCGCAGUAAAUUGACUGUGCGAAGGUAGCAUAAUCAAUAGUUUUUUAAUUGAAAGCUUGUAUGAAUGAUUGGACGAGAUAAAGACUGUCUUUAAUUAAUUUAUUUUAGAAUUUAAUUUUUGAGUUAAAAAGCUUAAAUAUAUUUAAAAGACGAGAAGACCCUAUAGAUCUUUAUAAUUAAUUAUUAAAGUUAUUUUAUGGAAAAAUUUAAUAUAUUAAUAAUUUAAUUAUUUUAUUGGGGUAAUAUAAAGAUUGGUUUAAUUCUUUAUAAAUUAGUACAUUGAUUUAUGAUUAAUUGAUCCUAUAUUAUGGAUUAUAAGAUUAAGUUACCUUAGGGAUAACAGCGUAAUUUUUUUUUAGAGUUCAUAUCGAUAAAAAAGUUUGCGACCUCGAUGUUG